AGAGGAGAGGUGGGCGUAGCAUAUGCUUGUCUCAAAGAUUAAGCCAUGCAAGUCUCAGUGCACACGGACACUACAGUGAAACUGCGAAUGGCUCAUUAAAUCAGUUAUGGUUCCUUUGAUCGCUCCACCGUUACUUGGAUAACUGUGGUAAUUCUAGAGCUAAUACAUGCUGACGAGCGCUGACCUUCCGGGGAUGCGUGCAUUUAUCAGAC